rnacentral:rRNA from 1 species
CGUCGUAAACUGCUUUUUCAGAGAAGAAAGAUUUGUUUCUACAGAUUUUGACGGUAUCUGAAGGAAUAAGCACCGGCUAACUCCGUGC